UAGCUCUGACUCAAAGCUCCCCCUCUACUAGCAGCGGUGAAGAACAGAGAGAAUUUCAAAACUGCAGAAUUUCCUACCCAAUGGAAAAUCUAGUUCCUGCCUAGUUCUAGCUAACGGGACCUGAGUGAGGCAACUGGUGUGCCACUAAGAAUAGCGGAAUGGGAGAAAAAAUGAUCUAAAACCCACCUUUAUCACUGUUCAUCAAAAUUCGUCCAUACUUAAUUCCAGCCAUCUUUCUUUUUCUUGCCUCCACUGUUGAAGUCUCGUGUGCCUGGAAAGACACGCUAGUGACUGAACAACGAGGGGAGGAGACCAAGCAAUUAAGAGAGAGGACUCCAAGCCAAAUGGAGCCCAGCCAGGCAUCCAGGUGCCAUCUAAACCCUGCUUUGGGGGACCUUAGGAUUAUAUUUUGAUCAUCUGCAAAAUGCAACGUGUGGCCCUCUCAUUUUUCUGCCUCAGGAGUUCAGAGAGCACGGGCUCAGCACUAGAAAGAAGAAAGAAAGAAAUGGAAAUCCUGCCCUUCUCUGCCAGCUCAUCACUUGGAUGGAUUGUUGCCCCAUUACAUUUUGGAUGCAGCCACUGAACUUUUUCCCAUCAGCCGGAGAUUAUUUUUUUCACUAGUGUUAAUGCCCAAGGCUUGCUCGGCUACUGUUAACAGCUCAAAUCACGUUAAAAUUAGCCAGGUCACAACAUUUCACUCUACACAGCUUUCUCAGGGGAGACCAUGGUAGUAUUGUCCCUGCAGCUAGCUGGAGGAGGGUUCUGACUGCUUUGAGAAACCUGCCAGGCUGCUGAGAGCGGAAAGGUGUUGGGCUUCCUCUCAUUGAAGUCAAUGAUAAGACUCCCAUUGGCUUCAAUAGUGAAGGACUCAGUUUAACCACUUGGAGGAUGGUUUCUUUGUCUAAUGGGUGUUGCCAUUAUUGGCAGCAUCCCCAGCUUUUUCCUAACGUGGGUUGUUGAGUGCUCAGUUAAUCCCAGCUGUGGAGAGUGGGUCCCACUAUCAUCCUACUCAUUGCAUUCCAUGUCCCUUGGAAUGUAUAUUCAAUAUAAAACCACGCUCCAUUUGUGCCCCUGAUGCUGUAAUAUAUAAAGAAAUAAUCAUCUGCCACACUUCCCCUACAGGGGUAGGUCAUUUAUGCCUGUUACGCAGCUUAGGUAGCUAUUAUUUGGUGUCAGACUGCACCUUCAACUGGUGGGUGCAGCAGGAGUAUCAGCUACUACCUUUGUCCAGGUUUAGAUGGGCUGGCUUUUUUAGAACUGUGCCAGACUGAAGGCUGCCUCUGAGGUUGGCAUCUGGUCCUUCACAUUUAUUGGCUCCGUUCAGAUUGCACAUAGCCCAUCUUUGAUGAAUGCUAGAAAGGUACAAAGGUGCAAGCAGGAAAAGUCCAUGGAAGAGGGGGAAAAACUCAUUAAAAUGCAAAUCUCUUUUACAAAGUAAUUUUGUGAUUCAGCCCUGUGAGCCAAGUUUCUUCUGCCUUGACCCAAAGGCACCUCACUGGGCAGCUGACGGUGACUAGAAAACAUCCACUGCCUCCGUCUUUUACUGGGCCUAUCAGAAGAGAGAGCUAAAGGGCAGACUGCACUCGGAGAGAACCCAGCUCAAUUAGAUCUCAUUUUUCCAGGCACUAAGAGCACUUACCAUCAUACUACGACCUGCCAAUAUUUAGUUGAGCUGCAUCAGGUUGUACAGCUUUUAUUUUCUCUUUGAGUGACGUGUGUGAAUUUACCUCAGCAGACUUCUUUGAGAUUUCUCCCUAUUUAACAAGGUCUCUUCUUUAGGGACUCUUAUGCCAG